AUCAGACAGAGAUAUAGAAAACUAUAUCUGUGAUAUUCGAUCCAGGUAUCGAGCUCUAAAGUUUUACGAUCUGGGUUUUUCCCCAACCAUAAACACCCAUAGUGAAUCCGAGCUAAGUGGGAAAAUGGUAGAGAAAGAUGCGCUUAGCCCGACUCGCAAAUUGGCACCCGGCUUCGGAUUUCGGCUCCGUCUCCGGCUGGAACUACUGCGACUUUGAUCGCGGAGAUCACGGGGAACGGCGUAGCCGGGUGCUACGAGGUACCAGCGGCGAACUGGCACCGUCUUAGGCCUGGGAAUUGUGUAAAGUGAAUACAGAAAAAAUAAAAACAAAAACUGCAAACGAACUACAAAAAAAUAAACACACACAUAAAACACAAACUAAAAACGAGAAAAAUGAAUGAAAAAAGCGAAUUCAAUGCAGGUAUCGGACGGAUACAUGCGAGUAUCUCAGAAAUACAAUGCGCCAGUGCCUAAUAACUGGAUACAAGUUGAUGUUUGAGUGUGGCUAUGUGCAAAAUAAAAUCAAAACAAAAAUCGAAAAGCUCAUAAAUAAUAGCCACACAAAAAUGAACAACAAAGGUUUUCAGUCGUUAGCGCAGCUCGCCAUUUUGACUUGGCUAAAAUUAGCUAAUAACGAUAAAAAAUUGAAAACAGAAAACCAAAAUAAACCAACAAUGUUAUGAGCUUAUGAAAAGCAAGCGAAAUAAAAUAUCAUGCGGAUUUUUAUGGACUUGGAAGUACCGAAAAUAUUACAGCAACGUUAUUAGCAACUAUCAUAACUAUUAAAUAGUACUCCUAUUUAACUCUAAUUCCGUGCUCGCAUGUCAUUGGGGUGUGAUUUUCUCAUAAAAAAAAAACUAAAAACUCUUACUUAUUUAUUAGCCCCAUUUCUCAAGAAGGUUUCCCGACUAAAUUAUACCCUUCAGGUGCCACUUCAUUUGCCUACCACUUUUCCCCACCCAAUUAGUGAUCCCAACUUCCUAGACCCGCAGAAAAUGGUUUCAUCGCAUUUGAUGCGAGUUGGUCACGGGAGAGUGAACGAGGCAGUAAUUACGAUUGGAUUUCGAAUGCUUCAACGAUUGCCGCGGGGAUUUUGUUUAAUUUUUCAUACGUGUACUUGCACACAUGUACGAGUAUAUACUGUAGGUGGCGGCCGGAGAAACUGCGUUCUAGGAAUCGAGCAUCUUGCCCCGCUUUCGUAUUGGAACGAACGUGCAACCUGUGAUUAGCACCUCAUCGCCAGAGGCCCAGUUCAUCCGGAGUUACCUGUCCGCAGAGCCCUGGCCUGCGACCCCCUUAUCGCCACUUCAUCCCUGCGGAGAUGGGCAUGUGAUGAAAGCAUGCCCAAAUAAAUUAAGCCAAUUUGGACAGGAACAAUAGAAGUUUUUUGUAUGCCUAGCAGUCCGUAAAUUGACAGAGAUCUUCAUUUGUGCGGUUCGUGUUUUUGCCUCUCGGUUCCUCUAAAUCUGCCAAUUAGCGACGCUUACAGGGUUUUUGGUACACCCUUAAAAAAAGGAUAUCAUUUGUUUUGGAUGUUUUAGAAGAUGACCAAAUACAUAGCUUUAUAUGUUUUAAUA